rnacentral:ncRNA from 1 species
CCCUUGCCGGGGGGCCACAUGAGUGGAAGGCCGGACGCGGAUAAGCCAUGAGUGCCGCGCAUAGAAAAACCAUGGCAGCC